rnacentral:rRNA from 1 species
GACGAACGCUGGCGGCGUGCUUAACACAUGCAAGUCGAACGGAAAGGCCCUGCUUUUGUGGGGUGCUCAAGUGGCGAACGGGUGAGUAACACGUGAGUAACCUGCCCUUGACUUUGGGAUAACUUCAGGAAACUGGGGCUAAUACCGGAUAGGAGCUCCUGCUGCAUGGUGGGGGUUGGAAAGUUUCGGCGGUUGGGGAUGGACUCGCGGCUUAUCAGCUUGUUGGUGGGGUAGUGGCUUACCAAGGCUUUGACGGGUAGCCGGCCUGAGAGGGUGACCGGCCACAUUGGGACUGAGAUACGGCCCAGACUCCUACGGGAGGCAGCAGUGGGGAAUAUUGCACAAUGGGCGGAAGCCUGAUGCAGCAACGCCGCGUGCGGGAUGACGGCCUUCGGGUUGUAAACCGCUUUCGCCUGUGACGAAGCGUGAGUGACGGUAAUGGGUAAAGAAGCACCGGCUAACUAC